rnacentral:lncRNA from 1 species
AGUACAUGACAGUAGAGAUUUCGGAUCAUCGCUAAGAUUAGCUUCUGCUUUUUGACAGCUGCCUUUUCAAAUCUUACACUGUGAAGUAUAACCCAGCACUGCUGUUCCUUCUAGGGAACACUUAAUUAACUCCCUCAAGAAGAUGGUACUUCUGUAGUAAGGUAAUAUAUGGAGCAUGUACACAUUGUGAUUGCCCAAAGGUAGGCAGCUUGGUUUUAAUGAAAUGUGAGCACUGCUGGAGCUUGCAGUGGUAUUUGCAUACCCUAAGU